rnacentral:rRNA from 1 species
GACGAACGCUGGCGGCGUGCUUAACACAUGCAAGUCGAACGGAAAGGCCCUGCUUGCAGGGUACUCGAGUGGCGAACGCGUGAGUAACACGUGGGUGAUCUGCCAUGCACUUCGGGAUAAGCCGGGGAAACUGGGUCUAAUACCGGACAGGAGCCGGAAUCAGCGUGAUGGUGGGCAAGUUUCUUCGGUGUAGGAUGAGCGCGCGGCCGAUCAGCUUGUUGGUGGGGAAAUGGACUACCAAGGCGGGGACCGGUCACCCGCCUGAGAGGGUGGACGGCCACACACGCAGUGAGAGACGGACCAGACACCUACGGGAGGCAGCAGUGGGGAAGAUAGCACCAUGGGCGCGAGACUGCUGCAGCGACGCCGCGCGGGGGAUGACAGACUUCGGGUUGGAAACUCACUUCGUUAGGGAGGAAGCAUUUUAUGACGGUACCUAGAGAAGAAGCACCGGCUAACUACGUG